rnacentral:rRNA from 1 species
AGCAAUACCUGGUGGCGACCGGCGCACGGGUGCGUAACGCGUAUGCAACCUACCUUUAACAGGGGGAUAGCUCCGAGAAAUCGGGAUUAAUACCCCAUAGUAUUGUUUUGUGGCAUCACGAGAUGAUUAAAGUUCCGACGGUUAAAGAUGGGCAUGCGUGCCAUUAGCUAGUUGGUGAGGUAACGGCUCACCAAGGCAACGAUGGCUAGGGGUUCUGAGAGGAUUAUCCCCCACACUGGUACUGAGACACGGACCAGACUCCUACGGGAGGCAGCAGUAAGGAAUAUUGGGCAAUGGACGCAAGUCUGACCCAGCCAUGCCGCGUGCAGGAAGACAGCCUUAUGGGUUGUAAACUGCUUUUGUCAGGGAAUAAACCCCCGGUCGUGCACCGGGGCUGAAGGUACCUGAAGAAUAAGCACCGGCUAACUCCGUGCCAGCAGCCGCGGUAAUACGGAGGGUGCAAGCGUUAUCCGGAUUUAUUGGGUUUAAAGGGUGCGCAGGCGGGUUUGUAAGUCAGCGGUGAAAUCCCACGGCUCAACCGUGGAACUGCCAUUGAUACUGCAGGCCUUGAGUGUAUUUGAAGUGGGCGGAAUGUAGCAUGUAGCGGUGAAAUGCAUAGAUAUGCUACAGAACACCAAUUGCGAAGGCAGCUCACUAAACUACAACUGACGCUCAUACACGAAAGCGUGGGGAUCAAACAGGAUUA